rnacentral:tRNA from 1 species
GCCCCCUUGGCGAAAUUGGUAUACGCAACAGACUUAAAAUCUGUCACCCGAAUGGGUUUGCCGGUUCAAGUCCGGCAGGGGGCACCA